rnacentral:rRNA from 1 species
UACGGAGGGGACUAGCGUUGUUCGGAAUUACUGGGCGUAAAGCGCGCGUAGGCGGAUUAGUCAGUCAGGGGUGAAAUCCCGGGGCUCAACCCCGGAACUGCCUUUGAUACUGCUAGUCUUGAGUUCGAGAGAGGUGAGUGGAAUUCCGAGUGUAGAGGUGAAAUUCGUAGAUAUUCGGAGGAACACCAGUGGCGAAGGCGGCUCACUGGCUCGAUACUGACGCUGAGGUGCGAAAGCGUGGGGAGCAAACAGG